ACAGUAACAUGUAUAAUAGUGCUAAAUAAGAGUUGGCAUAGAUUUUAUAUAUUCUUUCACACUAUCAAUGAUAGAUAAUUUCUAUGUUAAAUAAGAGUCCUAAACAACCCAGAAAUCGAUAAGGUCAGUGAAAAACUCAAAAAUAGUAUAGCAAGCACAUUACAUGACAAAGAAAUGCAAUUUCAAAUGUGACUUUGGAACCCGAUAUUAUCCCCAAAUACAUAUUUACAUACAAGUUGACUUAUCAGUACAAGAUGCAAGGUGCUCGAAUUAUCGAUAUGGGACCAGACCAUCUUGGAUUCUUAGUUCUAGCACUUGAACAGGAGCCACGGUUUAAAUUACAGCUAGAAUUAUGAUAUUUUUGCUGUAUAUUUAUAGUCUUCACAUCACUUUUUAAAUUAUUAUGAAGUUUGAGAAGUAUAGAACGGAAAUAUGUUAUUAUAACCUGGAAGACUCCACCUUGAACCUUACUGUCACCUGAUUGCUCCAAGUAAAUUAGCACCAUCAAGCUUUGCUCCUUCCAAAUGCUGUGAAAAAAAAUGUAGCUGAAUAAAUUUUAACAAAGGAUCAAGUUGCAAUAAUGAAUUCAAGAUUGAAGCAAGCGUAAAUAUUAUGUAAGAUCUUGUUUGAUAGGGAUUUUGAUAAUUGAUUUUUUGACCGUUAGAGAUAAAGUGGAUCCCACCUGUGAGAGAAGAAUUUAAAAAUGACGGUUGGAAUAGUGAAAUAAUGGUCAAAAAAUUAAUUUUAAUUAACUUAAAAUCUAUACCAAACAAGCAAUAAAUACCAACCCUGAGUGUUGGCAUUCUCAACAAGGAGAAUAAUGGUAACUAGUUAGUCAAAUCUAUUGUUGACCACACAACUUUUUAACGUUUACCACUACAUGAAGAACUCGACUUAUAUUUUAUAGGAAAAUUAUGAUGAAAAAGAAAAACACAAAACGUACUAUUUCACAUUAAAUUUUUCUAGGGUAAUUGGGUACUGUUUAGUAUUUUCCAAUCUGUACAUAUUAUAAAAGAACUCAAUAGUUUGUCCUAGAAAGAAAUCCUAUACCUUUCCUAAUGCAAAUAAUUGAAAGAGUACCUAUUGAAAAUGAUUAUAUGGUAUUGAAAAUGAUCAUAUGGUCUCCCAAAUUUUGUCAAGACUCGAGAUCACAUAAAAAUAAAUAUUUAUUCCGGAUUAUGCAAUUCAAUAUUUAUUGAAUAAUUAAUAUUCCCAUACUUCUACUAUUUCUUGAAUACAUACUCAAUGAAGCAACAGUUGAACCAAUGACCCCGGUGCUGAAUAGGGAGGUUCCUGAUGGCUCUUUUAUUUUUACUUUCUCAAGCACUCUUCAUGAAUUAAUUUGAAUCAAAUACAAACACAUAAUUAUUAAUGUUCAUAUGCCUAUAGUACUCCCUGUUCAUUGUUUGUUCAGAUGAUAUUUUACAGCAAGCAAUAGCAACAGAGAGUGUCUUACUAAUUUGAGUUCCAGUAGCAGGAAGACUUCAUCUAAAACAACAUACACAAAAUUAUACAAAAUGGGCCAACUUCCAAACAGAAGGAUAGUAUUCAAGGAUUUCAUUUGAAAAACUAAAAUAUAAACUAAACUGGGCCAAUAUAGAUCACUGAUAAUAGGAAAAACCAGCAGUCUGGUCUGUUCAUAGAGCUGAAGGAAAAUGUCAUCAGUCUCGGUAUAUCUCAGUACUCGUAGUAAUUGAGUUAAGUAUGGUAUUAUAGAUGAAUGGAGGUGAAACAAGAACAAAUUUCUGAGGGACAUUUGCCUAUAUUGUAAUAUAACUAUGAAACUAGAUUACUUAACUAUAUAAAAUGACAGAUCUCCCACUAUAAGGACUGAAUGGAGACAAACUAUAGCCUGUCUACAGUCAAGCCUUCUAAUCAAAAGUAUGUCCCUCUCCACAGCACAAAUUAUAAGAUAAUACCUCAAAGUUCCAGUAAAUUUCAUUUUGCAUUUCUUCUGAAUUUCCUCUUCAUGUUCUCGUUUGAACAAAAGCAAAUAAGUGGAGAAAACAAAGGAAAGAAUGAAAGCUAAGUAUCGCAAUAUAGCUAUGAAGGAAAAUAAUAUCCUUGAGCCUUGUAACUACUAGUCUCAUUAUGAAAG
rnacentral:lncRNA from 1 species